AGAGUUUGAUCCUGGCUCAGCCUGAACGCUGGCGGCGUGGUUAAGACAUGCAAGUCGAACGGGUGUAGCAAUACACCAGUGGCGGACGGGUGAGUAAUGUAUCGCUAAUGUACCCCGGAGCCAGGGAUAGCUUUCCGAAAGGAAAGGUAAUACCUGAUGAGACCACGGAAGGGCAUCCUUCUGUGCUCAAAGCCGUAAGGCACUCUGGGAGCAGGCGAUAUCGUAUCAGCUAGUUGGUGAGGUAACGGCUCACCAAGGCGACGACGCGUAGCUGGUCUGAGAGGACGGCCAGCCACAUUGGGACUGAGACACUGCCCAGACUCCUACGGGGGGCUGCAGUAACGAAUCUUCCGCAAUGCACGAAAGUGUGACGGAGCGACGCCGCGUGGAGGAUGAAGUUCUUCGGAAUGUAAACUUCUGUCAGGGGAUACCAAGUUCUGAGGAUCCCCAGAGGAAGGGGCGACUAACUCUGUGCCAGCAGUCGCGGUAAGACAGAGGCCCCGAGCGUUAGGCGGAAUCACUGGGCUUAAAGCGCGUGUAGGCGGAGGGCUAAGUACCUUGUGAAAUCCCCGGGCUCAACCCGGGAACUGCUUGGUAUACUGGUCUUCUUGAGGCAUCUAGGGGCGAGCGGAACAAACGGUGGAGCGGUGAAAUGCGUAGAUAUCGUUUGGAACGCCAAUGGUGAAAACAGCUCGCUGGGGAUGUCCUGACGCUGAGACGCGAAAGCCAGGGGAGCAAACGGGAUUAGAUACCCCGGUAGUCCUGGCCGUAAACGAUGUCCACUAGAUCGUAGCGCCUCUGACGGCGUUAUGGUCGAAGCAAAAGUGCUAAGUGGACCGCCUGGGAAGUACGGUCGCAAGGCUAAACUCAAAGGAAUUGACGGGGGCUCACACAAGCGGUGGAGCAUGUGGUUCAAUUCGAAGCACGCGCAGAACCUUACCUGGGCUUGACAUGCUAGGAUUAUCCCUUUGAAAGUA
rnacentral:rRNA from 1 species